rfam:Mesocricetus auratus contig002132, whole genome shotgun sequence.
GUUGCUGGAUUCAGCAUCACCUAUACAAAAAUUAUAAUAACAGAGAAGAUGAGCAUGGGCCCUGUACAAGGAUGAUAUGAAAAUUUAUCAAGAUAUAUAUAUAUAU